CGUAGGUGGUCAAUUAAGUCAGAUGUGAAAGCCCCGGGCUCAACCUGGGAUGGUCAUUUGAAACUGGUUGACUAGAGUUUUGUAGAGGGUGGUAGAAUUUCAGGUGUAGCGGUGAAAUGCGUAGAGAUCUGAAGGAAUACCAGUGGCGAAGGCGGCCACCUGGACAGAGACUGACACUGAGGCGCGAAGGCGUGGGGAGCAAACG
rnacentral:rRNA from 1 species